rnacentral:rRNA from 1 species
UGUGUGUUAGUGGAAGCGUCUGGAAAGGCGUGCGAUACAGGGUGACAGCCCCGUACACAAAAAUGCACAUGCUGUGAGCUCGAUGAGUAGGGCGGGACACGUGGUAUCCUGUCUGAAUAUGGGGGGACCAUCCUCCAAGGCUAAAUACUCCUGACUGACCGAUAGUGAACCAGUACCGUGAGGGAAAGGCGAAAAGAACCCCGGCGAGGGGAGUGAAAAAGAACCUGAAACCGUGUACGUACAAGCAGUGGGAGCCUCUUUAAUGGGGUGACUGCGUACCUUUUGUAUAAUGGGUCAGCGACUUAUAUUCUGUAGCAAGGUUAACCGAAUAGGGGAGCCGAAGGGAAACCGAGUCUUAACUGGGCGUUAAGUUGCAGGGUAUAGACCCGAAACCCGGUGAUCUAGCCAUGGGCAGGUUGAAGGUUGGGUAACACUAACUGGAGGACCGAACCGACUAAUGUUGAAAAAUUAGCGGAUGACUUGUGGCUGGGGGUGAAAGGCCAAUCAAACCGGGAGAUAGCUGGUUCUCCCCGAAAGCUAUUUAGGUAGCGCCUCGUGAAUUCAUCUCCGGGGGUAGAGCACUGUUUCGGCAAGGGGGUCAUCCCGACUUACCAACCCGAUGCAAACUGCGAAUACCGGAGAAUGUUAUCACGGGAGACACACGGCGGGUGCUAACGUCCGUCGUGAAGAGGGAAACAACCCAGACCGCCAGCUAAGGUCCCAAAGUCAUGGUUAAGUGGGAAACGAUGUGGGAAGGCCCAGACAGCCAGGAUGUUGGCUUAGAAGCAGCCAUCAUUUAAAGAAAGCGUAAUAGCUCACUGGUCGAGUCGGCCUGCGCGGAAGAUGUAACGGGGCUAAACCAUGCACCGAAGCUGCGGCAGCGACACUAUGUGUUGUUGGGUAGGGGAGCGUUCUGUAAGCCGUUGAAGGUGGCCUGUGAGGGUUGCUGGAGGUAUCAGAAGUGCGAAUGCUGACAUAAGUAACGAUAAAGCGGGUGAAAAGCCCGCUCGCCGGAAGACCAAGGGUUCCUGUCCAACGUUAAUCGGGGCAGGGUGAGUCGACCCCUAAGGCGAGGCCGAAAGGCGUAGUCGAUGGGAAACAGGUUAAUAUUCCUGUACUUGGUGUUACUGCGAAGGGGGGACGGAGAAGGCUAUGUUGGCCGGGCGACGGUUGUCCCGGUUUAAGCGUGUAGGCUGAUUUUCCAGGCAAAUCCGGAGAAUCAAGGCUGAGGCGUGAUGACGAGGCACUACGGUGCUGAAGCAACAAAUGCCCUGCUUCCAGGAAAAGCCUCUAAGCAUCAGGUAACAUCAAAUCGUACCCCAAACCGACACAGGUGGUCAGGUAGAGAAUACCAAGGCGCUUGAGAGAACUCGGGUGAAGGAACUAGGCAAAAUGGUGCCGUAACUUCGGGAGAAGGCACGCUGAUGGUAGGUGAAGCGACCUGCUCGUGGAGCUGAAAUCAGUCGAAGAUACCAGCUGGCUGCAACUGUUUAUUAAAAACACAGCACUGUGCAAACACGAAAGUGGACGUAUACGGUGUGACGCCUGCCCGGUGCCGGAAGGUUAAUUGAUGGGGUCAGCCGCAAGGCGAAGCUCUUGAUCGAAGCCCCGGUAAACGGCGGCCGUAACUAUAACGGUCCUAAGGUAGCGAAAUUCCUUGUCGGGUAAGUUCCGACCUGCACGAAUGGCGUAAUGAUGGCCAGGCUGUCUCCACCCGAGACUCAGUGAAAUUGAACUCGCUGUGAAGAUGCAGUGUACCCGCGGCAAGACGGAAAGACCCCGUGAACCUUUACUAUAGCUUGACACUGAACAUUGAGCCUUGAUGUGUAGGAUAGGUGGGAGGCUUUGAAGUGUGGACGCCAGUCUGCAUGGAGCCGACCUUGAAAUACCACCCUUUAAUGUUUGAUGUUCUAACGUGGACCCGUGAUCCGGGUUGCGGACAGUGUCUGGUGGGUAGUUUGACUGGGGCGGUCUCCUCCUAAAGAGUAACGGAGGAGCACGAAGGUUGGCUAAUCCUGGUCGGACAUCAGGAGGUUAGUGCAAUGGCAUAAGCCAGCUUGACUGCGAGCGUGACGGCGCGAGCAGGUGCGAAAGCAGGUCAUAGUGAUCCGGUGGUUCUGAAUGGAAGGGCCAUCGCUCAACGGAUAAAAGGUACUCCGGGGAUAACAGGCUGAUACCGCCCAAGAGUUCAUAUCGACGGCGGUGUUUGGCACCUCGAUGUCGGCUCAUCACAUCCUGGGGCUGAAGUAGGUCCCAAGGGUAUGGCUGUUCGCCAUUUAAAGUGGUACGCGAGCUGGGUUUAGAACGUCGUGAGACAGUUCGGUCCCUAUCUGCCGUGGGCGCUGGAGAACUGAGGGGGGCUGCUCCUAGUACGAGAGGACCGGAGUGGACGCAUCACUGGUGUUCGGGUUGUCAUGCCAAUGGCACUGCCCGGUAGCUAAAUGCGGAAGAGAUAAGUGCUGAAAGCAUCUAAGCACGAAACUUGCCCCGAGAUGAGUUCUCCCUGAGACUUUAAGUCUCCUGAAGGAACGUUGAAGACGACGACGUUGAUAGGCCGGGUGUGUAAGCGCAGCGAUGCGUUGAGCUAACCGGUACUAAUGAACCGUGAGGCUUAACCUU